rnacentral:rRNA from 1 species
AACUGGGCCAACUUGCGUUGGAACCCGCUCUCCUCCUCCAAGCUCUUAAUGCCCGUGUUCAAGAACUCGUUCGCCUUCACCAGCCUGUGCCCGAGGCUCGCUACCUGUAUGGUAAGCGCGUCCGCGUCGAGGAUCGCUGCCUUGCGGACAUUCUGGAGGUCGUCAGACAGGCCGGACACCACUUCGAGGCCAAGCUCCUUGUAG